rnacentral:rRNA from 1 species
CGCCCAGACUCCUACGGGAGGCAGCAGUGGGGAAUAUUGCACAAUGGGGGGGACCCUGAUGCAGCGACGCCGCGUGGGUGAAGGAGUAUUUCGGUAUGUAAAGCCCUAUCAGCAGGGAAGAACAAUGACGGUACCUGACUAAGAAGCACCGGCUAAAUACGUGCCAGCAGCCGCGGUAAUACGUAUGGUGCAAGCGUUAUCCGGAUUUACUGGGUGUAAAGGGAGCGCAGGCGGCGCGUUAAGCCCGGUGUGAAAGCCCGCGGCCCAACCGCGGGACUGCAUUGGGAACUGGCGCGCUGGAGUGCCGGAGGGGUAGGCGGAAUUCCUAGUGUAGCGGUGAAAUGCGUAGAUAUUAGGAGGAACACCAGUGGCGAAGGCGGCCUGCUGGACGACAACUGACGGUGAGGCGCGAAAGCGUGGGGAGCAAACAGGAUUAGAUACCCUAGUAC